CUUGAAGAUCCUACAUAUGGUCCAAGAGUCCUGUUUUCGGCAAUAGAAAAGGUGGCCUGUCAGAAUUUGACAUGACGUUGGAAUUUAGCUCUGCAACUAUAUAUACUAAUAUGAAUUGAAAUGCGUUGCGUACAUUGAGCGGGAUGUUCUUGUCGAUCGGCCUACUCUUGGGAAGUGACGUAUCGGCGAGUGAAGGGAACCUGAACUCGUGCAUCAUCCAGUCGGUUUUGAUCCCUCUUGCUGCUCUGCCUUUGUAGAAGACAAGGGACUUCUUCAGGCCUACGCACCUGGUGUCCUCGGAGGAGUAAAUUGGCCUAUCUGUUCCCGUGGCUUUCCAGAACCCAGCUGCUGUGACCCGGUUUGGCCUCGCACUGUUGCGAUAUUUGCGGUCCCUUGGGCAGUAGAAGUACCACUCCGUCUCACCGCCGGUGCUCGCAAGCUCUGUUGUUGAGAAGGAACAGUCAAGUUGUUAGACUUUGCAGUAAGGAUGGAACCGGAACCCAGGCAUGAGGAUCUCAUCUGAUUUGACAUCAUCUCUGCUCUCCAUAUCUCACAAAGCUGCUGAGGUGAAGACAAUCUCCGGGAGAUGUGCACUACAGAUACUGCGAUGCAAUCUACUUCGUACACACCAUGUGUAUUUAUAUAUGUAUGUAUGAGGCUCGAGCUACAGGUCUGAGCGACUGGAUGAGGCCC